GCAGCCGCGGUAAUUCCAGCUCCAAUAGCGUAUAUUAAAGUUGUUGCAGUUAAAAAGCUCGUAGUUGAAUUUUGGGUCUGGCCGGGCGGUCCACCUUCCGGUGAGCACUGUUCCGACGUCGGGCCUAUCCUUCUGGUGAGACGGCAUGCCCUUCACUGGGUGUGUCGGGGAACCAGGACCAUUACCUUGAAAAAAUUAGAGUGUUCAAAGCAGGCGUUUGCUCGAAUACAUUAGCAUGGAAUAAUGAAAUAGGACGCGUGGUACUAUUUUGUUGGUUUCUAGGACCGCCGUAAUGAUUAAUAGGGAUAGUUGGG
rnacentral:rRNA from 1 species